UCUCAUUAAGUGUUUGAUUUAGAUUUCCAAAUACAUUUGCAUUGAUGUCAUAGUUGAUUAGAGGGACAAUAGAGUGCUGAGUACCAGGCAGUUAGCACGUUUUGUAGGCCACUAAUGACCAGCAGCAGCAUCAGAGUUUGGAGAAGACUAAUUACUGUUACUAAAUGGUAAUUUGACUGCCUUCAUGACUCGUGACCGCCGGUGUGGCGGUAUGUGUGCAACAAUGGAGUUUCUGUUAGUGUGUUUCUUAUGUAGAUCCAUACUAGUCCUCCGGCCUGUUCGUUGGAGAGGGUGAUGGCUGCCUCUGCUGCUGCUGGCUCAGAUAGAGGAGAGAGAUGAGGUCCACUGCCCUCAAAAAACACUGAAGGAAAGGAGCGAAGAUGAGGAAGAGGAGGGGGGGAGAAAGGGAUUCAGAUGGAUAUAUCGCAGGCGCUCUAUGAACCGCACAUUGACAAGCAAACAGAAUCCAGCAUGCUUUGACCAGAACCAGGCACAAAAUACUAGUUUGGACCAGAUUCAGGACGGGCUCCAGUUACUUCAGCCGUCAGAACGCCCUACAGGGUGCAAGGAGCGCAGAGAGAGGCGGAGUCAGACGGUGAACCUGCUGCGCCUAAAGAAGGCGGAGACACAGAGCAGGGCUAGCCUGCGGACCAGUGGCUCCAGUAAUCUGCACAAGAACAAGGACCCGAGGACCGACAACAAGGCUGUCUUUCAAAAUGGAGACUCUAAAGAAUCAGAGGAAAAGGUAGAAUGACGUUCCAGAAUUAAGUGUGGCCAUAUUACAUCGGCAAGGGAUCACAGCAGUCUGAGAGACGUGUGUGGCUGGAACACGAGGAGUGUGCUCUGGAGAGGAGCUGGAGGAGGAGCUGAGGUGCAGAGAAAGGUGCUGCGGCACCGAGAGGCCUGUGUCCAGGUGAGGAACCAGCUGCAGAUCAAGAAGCUUCGCUCCAGCCAGGCUCUGAGAGUCAGGACUUGCUGCGCAUGUCGGCCCGUCUGGGAGAUCUGGAUCAGGAGCUUGAGGAGAGAGGAGGGGUAGAGAGGCGACUGUCCCCCUCUGCAGCAGGGCUGUGUGGAGUGUCCGCGGAGGAGCUGCUGAAGGAGAGAGAGAGGGCCUGCGUCAGAGGAGGGACGGCAGGGUGCUCACGCCAGAGGAGGAGCAUGCUCUGCUGCAGUCGGAGGAGGUCUUGGAGGCUCUGGAUGCUGCAGUAGAGUUUAAGAACUAUUCCAUCCGGGAGAGACAGAGAGACCUCGGGGACACGGAGACGACCACAAUGACGUCAUGAGGGCCCCGAAAGAGCUGUCGCUUCCAGAGGCCUCGGCACUGUUGGUCAAAUACUUCAACAAGGUGCUGUGUCUGCGGGAGUCUGAGCGGCGGCUGCAGCUGCAGAGUGGCGAGCAGGAGGCGGUGACCAGGGAGAUGGAGGCAGCUCUACAGCACCUCACUCUGGACACAGAACACCGGCUCACUGAGCAGCAUCAAGA